CCUACGGGCGGCAGCAGUGGGGAAUAUUGCACAAUGGGGGAAACCCUGAUGCAGCGACGCCGCGUGAGUGAUGAAGUAUUUCGGUAUGUAAAGCUCUAUUAGUAGGGAAGAAAAUGACGGUACCUGACUAAGAAGCCCCGGCUAACUACGUGCCAGCAGCCGCGGGAAUACGUAGGGGGCAAGCGUUAUCCGGAUUUACUGGGUGUUAAGGGAGCGUAGGUGGCAUGGUAAGCCAGAAGUGAAAACCCGGGGGUCAACCCCGCGGAUUGCUUUUGGCACUAGCAGGCUGGAGUGCUGGAGGGGUAAGCGGAAUUCGUGGUGUAGCGGUGAAAUGCGUAGAUAUUAGGAGGAACACCGAUGGCGAAGGCGGCUUACUAGACAGAAACUGACACUGAGGCUCGAAAGCGUGGGGAGCAAACAGGAUUAGAUACCCGGGUAGUC
rnacentral:rRNA from 1 species